GAACAGACAUGAGGCAAUAAGCAAUUUCCAGCAGAUGUACUGUGCAUCCUUCAUGGUCUCCUCGGGACAGCUUUCUCAGAGAAGUGACACCAGUGCUACUUCCAGUUCUAUUCUUUGUCCCAACCUAAUGACUCCUCUGAACUUGAACUCUUGAAUUUUGGUUGGAUUUGCAUGCCAUACCUGUUCUAACUUGCACGCAGCCUGGGACAGCAAAGGUGUUUUAUCUACGGUGACAAAUUGCUGUGUAAAGUUACAGUGUGACAUGAAGAGAGCAACCACCCUGAUGGUACUGCAAUCUGAGAGACAUAAUAUGCAGAAGAGGCAAAGAAAACAAAGAAACUCCAGGCUGAUCUGCAGAAGGGCAGAAAAAAAUUGCCUUCCAGAUGAAAUAUAUGGCAAGAAGAGCUAUAUUUCCAAACAAUUUCAGGGAAAUAAUUUUGUAAGUUAUUUGUCACUCUGCUGCACAAAAUGAUCAGACACACUGCCCAAUCAACAGCAAACCAGAAACUAACAGGUAUGAAAAUGUUCUGUUUUAUCUAACUAUUUUUCCAGUGAUCCAGAUUUACUGUGAGUAAAUUUACUGCAUCUUGCUGCUGGGAUGCAGCUCUCAUCUACAGAGCUGUCA